CUUGGCAGGAAAUCUCCCAGACAGGAGUGAGGGGCCUGGGGGCGGGGCCCAGCAGGGCUGCCCCAAGGGAUAGGGUCCAGCAGGGCUGCCCCAAACGCUGGGAAAGGCCUGUCCCCAUUUCCUCCAGGCUGGGUCGCCUCAGGCCAACCUCACUCCGGCCUUAAUUUCCCCGCUGCACUCCAAGCAGAAAGAAGGCAGAGACUGCGAGCUCUAGGGAUAAAAGGCUCGGCCAGCCCAGACCACCACCACCCCCUGUAAAACAGGGCAGAUGACGCCGCUGCUCUUUUUGGCUGAAUGAUGCCCAAAGGCUGGCCUUCUGGAUGUCAACAUCCAACCCCUGGCUCUGGCAGCCGCAGUCAUCCCCUCCCCGGGAGACACACCCUUCUCCGCGGUCAGGACUUAUUUGGGCUGCGUGGGUCCCAGCAGGGCCAGGCUCUGACCAGCAUGCCUCCCCACUUUACCCCCACCGCUGGGAGCCGUCUCUGCAAACACUCAGCCUGUUAGGACAGACAUCCCCAGGCAAGAAGCAAAUGAUCACCCAAAAAGGCAGGCCUCCGCUGGCCUUGUCGGUUUGUCCGGCAAGAGGCGGCAGACAGUUCCAGCGAGGCAACUGUCCACACAGCGGUCCCUCCUGUGCUCAGACCCCGGCAGCUGCUUCUAUUGGCCCAGCGGAGAAGGCCAGCAUCUUAAAUGUCUGCGAGGCCCCGGGUGGCCCCUGUUGUUCCCUGGAGCCUGUGCCCUGCCUGGGCCUUCUGACCGGACACUGCACAGCUGCCCCCUCCGCCUUCCAGCCUUCCUCCGGGCCCACCUUCCCAGUGAGGCGCCCACCCAUCUACCCAGCAGCAAGCACCUGCUCUUGCUAAUCCCCUUCCCUGCACGACUUUUGUUUCCCAAGCACUUAUCACCUUCUGACAUGCUAUGUCAUUUUCUUGUUUGUUAUGUUUAUUAUUAUCUGUUCCCUGCCCCUCACUAGAACGUAAGCUCCGUGAGGGCAGUUUUGGUCACUGCAGAGCCUUGCACAGCACGUGGCACAUGGCACAGCUGCGCCCCCUUAUCCGAAGUUUCACUUUCCACGGUUUCAGAUACCCGUGGUCGACCGAGAUCCGAAAACAUGA